UUGACCUCGGAUCAGGUG
rnacentral:rRNA from 1 species